rnacentral:rRNA from 1 species
UACGUAGGGUGCAAGCGUUAAUCGGAAUUACUAGGGCGUAAAGCGUGCGCUAGGCGGUUAUGUAAGACAGAUGUGGAAAUCCCCGGGCUCAACCUGGGAACUGCAUUUGUGGACUGCAUAGCGUAGAGUACGGUAGAGGGGGAUGGAAUUCCGCGUGUAGCAGUGAAAUGCGUAGAUAUGCGGAGGAACACCGAUGGCGAAGGCAAUCCCCUGGACCUGUACUGACGCUCAUGCACGAAAGC